GACGAACGCUGGCGGCGUGCUUAACACAUGCAAGUCGAACGGAAAGGCCCUGCUUGCAGGGUACUCGAGUGGCGAACGGGUGAGUAACACGUGGGUGAUCUGCCCUGCACUUCGGGAUAAGCCUGGGAAACUGGGUCUAAUACCGGAUAGGAGCCAUUUUUAGUGUGAUGGUUGGAAAGUUUUUUCGGUGUAGGAUGAGCUCGCGGCCUAUCAGCUUGUUGGUGGGGUAAUGGCCUACCAAGGCGGCGACGGGUAGCCGGCCUGAGAGGGUGGACGGCUACAUUGGGACUGAGAUACGGCCCAGACUCCUACGGGAGGCAGCAGUGGGGAAUAUUGCACAAUGGGCGCAAGCCUGAUGCAGCGACGCCGCGUGGGGGAUGACGGCCUUCGGGUUGUAAACUCCUUUCGCUAGGGACGAAGCUUUUUGUGACGGUACCUAGAUAAGAAGCACCGGCUAACUACGUG
rnacentral:rRNA from 1 species